GGUUUCCGUAGGUGAACCUGCGGAAGGAUCAUUGUCGAAACCUGCCCAGCAGAAAGACCCGCGAACAGGUUUACAACACUUGGGGGCGAGGGGUGCAAUGCGCCUUGAACCCCCCAUGCCGAGCGCGUGUGGCUUUGCCAUGCGUCCCCGGCCACUAACCAACCCCGGCGCGGAAUGCGUCAAGGAAACAUAAAGAAACGAGCUUCUACUGUGGCCCCAGAUUUGGUGCCUGCUGCAGCAGAUGUGUCGUGUUUCGUUAAGUCUAAAAACGACUCUCGGCAACGGAUAUCUCGGCUCUCGCAUCGAUGAAGAACGUAGCGAAAUGCGAUACUUGGUGUGAAUUGCAGAAUCCCGUGAACCAUCGAGUCUUUGAACGCAAGUUGCGCCCGAAGCCAUCCGGUCGAGGGCACGUCUGCCUGGGCGUCACACACCGUUGCCCCCCUAAGUCCCUUUGACACUAUCCAUGUGGUGCAUGGGGACUAGGAGUGGCGGAUGAUGGCCUCCCGUGGGCCUUGACUCGCGGUUGGUCUAAAUUUGAGUCCUCGGUCACGGUCGCCGUGGCAAUAGGUGGUCGUCGAUCAUUCGGUGCCCUGCCACGCGCUCCGGACAAAAGCAUCGAGAGACUUUACAAACUUGACCCCGAUGCACCACAACGUAGGUGCUCCAACGCGACCCCAGGUCAGGCGGGGCUACCCGC
rnacentral:rRNA from 1 species